rnacentral:other from 1 species
AUCAUCCUGUAAUGUACGUUAAUCUAUUGUUUUUAACCCACAGAGUAACUACGGGAGCUCGGGUUUGUUCAUAGGAUGUCAUGCCCUUGAGGGAAGGCAGAAUUGAGCAAUAGGGCACCCACCUGCCAAGAGGCGGGUAUAAAAAUAGUAGAGAACGGCAUUAUGGGAAUAGC